AGGGACCAAAAUAUAAUUUGAGUAUAAAUUUGAGGACCAUUUGAGUAAAUAACCCUUUUAUCAUUAUUAUUAUGCCGAAUGUUGAAUUAUUUCUUAGUUUCUUUUCUUCUAUGAGGUGGACACUGCUAAACUGAUAAUCUUUGCAAUAAUUCAUUUACUUUUCUCCUAUCCCUACUCCCCAACAAUCUUAAUAGUAAUCAUAUGUUUUUUGUUCCUAAAUUAUUUCAGGUUCAGAGAGAU
rnacentral:lncRNA from 1 species